ensembl:lncRNA
UUCAGCCCAGUUAUCAGUAAGGUUUCAAAACUACAUGCCCUGGGCUUCCAGCCAAUUCUGUUUCUUGGACAGUUUGACCGAAAGGGCCGUAUAGUAGGGGACGUGAUCACAUAGAGCCAGCAGAUGGUGCUGCAUGUGACAUCCUCAUGAAGAUGAGGAAACUUUAUGAACACCUUCUGAGAAAAUUACAAGCUUCACCUCCUGCUAAAAGUUCUACACCAGCAGCUGGACCAUCCUCUGCUGACAGUGUCGAUGCUGGACCAAUUUAUUCUUCAUUUAGAGCCUGAACCAACAUCUUCCCUCUGUCAGCCUCCUGCAUCCUCCUCUUCAUCUCCGCUUCCUGCAUUUCCCUCAAUUUCUACGGCGUACACCUCGGAUGUCCCAAACAAAAAAAGGACAAGGAAAGAAUGCCAAAAACACCGUACACAGAAGAUUUUCAAAUAUGAAGAGAUAGUAGACAGGAGAGUUGUAAAUGAAAAAGAAGAAGUUAAAGUCAAGUGGAAGCCCUGCUUAACAUGGUAUGUAGUAACAACGGGAACAGACAUUCAUAUUGUUGAUAAAUAGUUAUCACCUCAAUUUGAAUUCAUGUAUUUGGACUAAAGUAAAUUGAGAGCUUUUAGCAAUCAAGCUGCUCUUCUGUGAGGAGCUUGAUAGCUGUCCACCUCCAAAGUCCAUUAUGAGAUUUGGAGGUGGACAUGGUCAACACUUUUAAGAGUAGGCAUAAGACUUUACUUCUUUAUAGAGCUUAUAGUUAGGGCUGGUUCAGGUCAGCCCUUAGUUAUGCUGUCAUAGGACCAGACUGCUGGGGUUAGUCCCCCUCCCCCCCUCUCUCUCUCUCUCUCUCUCCUCUGUCUGUCUGUCUCUUUCAGGGUUAUGCAGGCUCAGUAUUGGUUGAAGAUGCAGUCACGUCUCCUUUUACUGAAAACUUUCCCCUCUCCCUCACCAUCUGUAAACGUACUUGUCUCAGUAAUGCAGUUCAUGCAUGUUACUAACUAAACUUCUUCCCUGGAGUUUCUGUGCUCUCUCAUCCAGCAGGUUCCGAUGGCUCGUGGCUGCUGCUGUGGUCCUGCUUGACAUCUACUCCAUAUAUUAUUACUCUCUGACUUGAUUUGAUUAGUUUAUAUUACAAUGAAGGUGUAUAAAGCAUGACAUGAAUAUAGAAAAUAUUUCAUCCUAAAAAAUUGUCAUAUGUCACAACCUAAAUUAUCCUAUUUUGUGUGUGGUGGUUGUCGUUGUUGUUUGUUAUGUUUUUCUCCUGACAGUG